rnacentral:rRNA from 1 species
GUAGAGGAUGCUUCGGGGCAGCGGCCGGUCUAAGUUCCUUGGAACAGGACGUCAUAGAGGGUGAGAAUCCCGUAUGCGACCGGCUGGCACCCCACACGUAGCUCCUUCGACGAGUCGAGUUGUUUGGGAAUGCAGCUCUAAAUGGGAGGUAAAUUUCUUCUAAAGCUAAAUACCGGCCAGAGACCGAUAGCGCACAAGUAGAGUGAUCGAAAGAUGAAAAGCACUUUGGAAAGAGAGUUAAAAAGCACGUGAAAUUGUUAAAAGGGAAGCGCUUGCAACCAGACUUGUCGACGGUGUUCCGCCGGUCUUCUGACCGGUUCACUCGUCGUCGGCAGGCCAGCAUCGUCUGGGGCCGCCGGAUAAAGGCUUGGGAAAUGUGGCUCCUCCGGGAGUGUUAUAGCCCCUCGCACAAUACGGCGCGCCUCGGGCGAGGUCCGCACUUCGGUAAGGAUGCUGGCGUAAUGGUCGUAAGCGGCCCGUCUUGAAACACGGACCAAGGAGUCGAUCAAUCGUGCGAGUGUUCGGGUGAAAAACCCUUGCGCGCAAUGAAAGUGAACGGAGGCGAGAACUUCGGUGCAUCGUCGACCGAUCCAGAUGUCUUCGGAUGGAUUUGAGUAAGAGCAUGGCUGAUCGGACCCGAAAGAUGGUGAACUAUGCCUGAAUAGGGUGAAGCCAGAGGAAACUCUGGUGGAGGCUCGCAGCGGUUCUGACGUGCAAAUCGAUCGUCAAAUUUGGGUAUAGGGGCGAAAGACUAAUCGAACCAUUAACCUACUAGGUGGUUAAUCUGUCGGACAAACGACACAGGCGGCACAGGGGCCGCCGACACCGUCAAAUUGCGGGGACGCGCUGAGCGUUCUCGCCGGCCGCCGCCCUCGGAAACGGGGUGUACGGCGCGGCGUCCCUAACGGGAUGGCCAGACGGCCGGCGCGAAAUUGGUUGACCCGCAGCCAAGUCCGCAGUCGCAGGGGGCGACCCGGACGCAGUUAACAGACUCGACGUCGGUGGGCCGGCGCACGGGGCGUCGGCUUGAGAUAGAGUCGGUUCGUCCGCGAGAG